GAGAAUCCCCCCGUAACAGUUCUAGUUUUCAGAGGGGACAGAGAGAAAGAGAGUGAGGUGGGGGGGGAAGGCUGUCUACUCUGUUGAUGAAGGACAAAGCUUUGAUCAUUUUUGUUCAGGCUUCACUUGGCUAGAGGUUUUAGGUUCUUAGACUCCAGUCAGUAGUUGUGUUGGCUUUCUUUCUUUCUCUUAGUCUCUCUGUAGUGUGCUUCUCUCUCUCUCUCUCUCUCUCUCUCUCUCUCUCUCUCUCUCUCUCUCUCUCUCUCUCUCUCCCCUUUCACAUUCUCCUUCUGUUGCCCUCCCUCUCUCAUUUCUCCUCAUAGGUUCAAUGCAGGCAGAUGAGUGUCACAGAUGUAACUGAGGCACUGAAUAAUCAACAUAUCGGAGCCAAUUCCCAGGACGGCAAGAGGGGGAACCGGCAGAGAUGACUGACCCUGGAGGACAAGAGCAUUCUUCUGACAAGUUUUAGCAUGGACUAUCCUCAGGAAAAUGAGAUCCAGGAAGAGUGACGCCCUCCUCGAACUGAAAGAUACUCAGGUUGAUGGAGUCAGGGACGAAGUGGCUUAUCAACAACACAGGAUGUCUGCAGGGAACAGAACUUAUUCAGACAUGGCCCAGAUUGUCUGCCCGUGGGGACUGAGGGACCUCUGAGGGUUACAUCAGGAAGGAGAGGCUGUUUCUACAGGUGCCACAGAAAAAUCGAUGCUGAGCCUCGGAUUAUUGGAUCCCAUAGAACCGUGGAGACUUGGCAGUGAAAUUCUUCCAAAGCAUUCCAUCUGCGCAGGCAGGCAGAGGUUUUCCUGGUUUGGGAAGUAUAAAUCCCGUGGGAAGUCAACUGGAGGACAUUUUACGCGUCACUCAUCCUAUUAUGAGCCUGCUGCUCCUCCGUCUCUUGACAAGGCCACCAACUAGAAGGGCACAGAAUUGUUCAUAAAACAGCUGAAUGUGAAUGUCUUUGGAUUCCCAUUUAAUGAGGGUGUCUUAAUGAGAUGACUGAAGAGUACAACCGCCAAGGCUGAGAUGAUGCAAAGGCUACGUGUGGGUACAGUUCCCGGUGCCUGUGCACACCAUUCAUUGGCAGCUAAAGGACAGGAGCAGCAAUAAGGCUUCCUGGCUACAUUUUCAUGGUGCCACCAACUGCGAGUUAAGCUGACAAACAUUUUGAGAGCUCGGCCCAUUUCAUUCCCAGCAGGAUGGCAGGAGUUAACUAAAACAGAAUAAACUAAAAAUUGUGCCUUCAUUGCACAUUUGCACUGAUUAUCAGCACUGAAAAUGGCUAAGUUCUGCUUAUCAAGGAAAUAAUAUGCUCCAGAGAAUCCUCUAAUUCACCGAAAAUGGACUUGGAUAACAUUUGGGUUCUCAUACUACCACAGUCCUCUUGAGAAGGACAGCCAGGCUUGGGUGGCAGUGGUGAGGAAGGUUCCUUUCUGUCAAGGGAGCUGAUGCCUUAAAGAAGCUAUCUCCAGAUAAAGGGAGAUCUAAGGAAGGAAGCCAACGAAAGACACCAUGUACCAGAAAGCCAAGCAGGAUUUUGACAUUUAUAACCAUAAUCUCUAUAAACAAGAUGAAUUAUGGCUGGGGAUUCAGUUAGUAAAUCAACGAAAAUAAAUCCUGGAGGCUAAUAAUGAAGGGGCCAGGGAAGGAGGCCAAUGCUACAGGGUUAUCUCCUAACCUCAGAUGUUGGAUAAGUCCAUGGAAACAGCAGCGCUUCUGGAUGGCUUCAGAAAGGCUGGAGUGAUUGUUUGGACGAGAAAAACCCGCCUAUUCAUUCAAAGGUACAUGAAUGUUGUCGACACUGUCCCAUCUAAAGGUUCAUCCUUAGAAUUCUGCCUUAGACAAAGGAAGUGCUUGGAGCCCCACCACACCUAAAACCAUGCUUUGAAGGAUCUGCCAAGCUCACUUUUAAUCAUGAGAAAGAAAUUACCCACAUGGAGACAGCAGAAAAUGAGAAAGUAGAGAUCGUGCUGCGAAUAAUUCCAGCGAGUGCCAAGGGGCUAGUUGAGGAAUGGCUUCAUGAGAUGUUAGUCUAUCUAGAACAACAGAUUUGGAUCUAAGCUGGACCUUUGAGAAAGAAAAGACUUCGAGGAAAAACACCUUUCCAUAUGUUUUAUUACCUUUCACCUGAAUUGUUUAAUGCACACUAUCCAACUAUAUUCAUCUUUCUUGCUUCAUGUGUAUUUCUUCUUUUGCUUGAACUGCUUUAGAAUUGACUUUUGAGCUACACAGUCAUUCUGGAUUUUUAAAAAGAGAAUUCUAAUAAAAACUUAUAUAUGUUG
rnacentral:lncRNA from 1 species